rnacentral:rRNA from 1 species
AAACCAUUUUCCCCCCUUAGUAUGGGCGACAGAAAAGGAACCACGGAGCAAUAGCGUAAAGUACCGCAAGGGAACGCUGAAAAAGAUUUGAAACAGCCCAAAUAAGCCUAAAAAAGCAGAGAUCUAAGCUCGUACCUUUUGCAUCAUGAUUUAGCCAGUAACCUUCGAGCAAAAAGCCUUUUAGUUCGAAUCCCCGAAACUGAGUGAGCUACUCCAAGACAGCCUACCUAUAGGGCAAACCCGUCUCUGUGGCAAAAGAGUGGGAAGAGCUUAGAGUAGAGGUGAAAGACCUAUCGAACUCAGCUAUAGCUGGUUGCCUGAGAAGUGGAUAAAAGUUCAGCCUCCCAGCUUCUCCCCUCACGUUAAGCCCUACCCCCACAGACCCCUGAGAAACUAGGAGAGUUAGUCAAAGGAGGUACAGCCCCUUUGACAUAAGACACAACUUUACCAGGCGGGUAAAGAUCAUAUUUAAAACCAAGGCAAAACAUUCUAGUUGGCCCAAAAGCAGCCACCCUUAUAGAAAGCGUUAAAGCUCAGACACUUGCCCCCCCCCCAAAUACUGAUAACACAAUCUAAACCCCCUGCCCCCCUACCAGGCUGCCCAAUGUACCCAUUGGGGUAACCCUGCUAAUAUGAGUAAUAAGAGAGGCCCCGCCUCUCUCCCUACACACGUGUAAAUCGGAUGGACCCACCACCGAACACUUUAACGGCCCCUAAUAAAGAGGGAAAUGAAAAACCAAAAAAAUAACUAGAAAAACCCCCAGUACCCGAACCGUUAACCCCACACUGGUGUGUUUCCCGGGAAAGACUAAAAGAAAGAGAAGGAACUCGGCAAAUACACUUAAGCCCCGCCUGUUUACCAAAAACAUCGCCUCUUGCAACCCCAAAGAAUAAGAGGUCCUGCCUGCCCAGUGACCCCGUGGUUCAACGGCCGCGGUAUAUUGACCGUGCGAAGGUAGCGUAAUCACUUGUCUUUUAAAUGAAGACCCGUAUGAAUGGCUUAACGAGGGCUUAACUGUCUCCUCUCUCCAGUCAAUGAAACUGAUCUCCCCGUGCAGAAGCGGGGAUAACUACAUAAGACGAGAAGACCCUAUGGAGCUUUAGGCACCAAGACAGACCCUGCUAAUUAUCCUCUGAUAACUGGACCCAAGUGAACACUGCCUUAUGCCUUUGGUUGGGGCGACCAUGGGGUAACAAAUAACCCCCACGCGGAAAAAGAGCUCGCAUCCCACGCUUUCACCACCCACCUCUCAAAACUAAGAGCUACUGCUCUAAGUAACAGAACCUCUGACCGAAAAUGACCCAGCAAUGCUGAUCAACGGACCGAGUUACCCUAGGGAUAACAGCGCAAU